UACGUAGGGCGCAAGCGUUGUCCGGAAUUAUUGGGCGUAAAGAGCUCGUAGGCGGCUUGUCACGUCGGGUGUGAAAUCCCGAGGCUCAACCUCGGGUCUGCAGUCGAUACGAGCAAACUAGAGUGUUGCAGGGGAGACUGGAAUUCCUGGUGUAGCGGUGAAAUGCGCAGAUAUCAGGAGGAACACCGGUGGCGAAGGCGGGUCUCUGGGCAACAACUGACGCUGAGGAGCGAAAGCGUGGGGAGCGAACAGG
rnacentral:rRNA from 1 species